CCUACGGGGGGCAGCAGUAGGGAAUCUUCCACAAUGGACGAAAGUCUGAUGCAGCAACGCCGCGUGAGUGAAGAAGGGUUUCGGCUCGUAAAGCUCUGUUAGUAGUGAAGAACGGUAGAGGUAGUAACUGGCCUUGAUUUGACGGUACUUACUUAGGAAGUCACGGCUAACUCCGUGCCAGCAGCCGCGGUAAUACGGAGGUGGCAAGCGUUUUUCGGAUUUAUUGGGCGUAAAGCGCGUGCAGGCGGUUCAAUAAGUCUGAGGUGAAAGCCCUGGGCUCAACCGGUGAAUUGCAUUAGAAACUGGUGAACUUGAGUGUAGGAGCGGAGAGUGGAACUCCAGGUGUAGCGGGGGAAUGCGUAGAUAUAUGGAAGAACACCAGUGGCGAAGGCGGCUCUCUGGUCUGUAACUGACGCUGAGGCUCGAAAGCAUGGGUAGCGAACAGGAUUAGAUACCCUGGUAGUC
rnacentral:rRNA from 1 species